GAGGGGAGAGCCCGGGGACACGGUUGGUGGGAAGAGACACCAGGACCAGGAAUUGUGCACAGUGCUCAGCAUUUAUUUGCAAGAUUGAAACUGGGUGGGUGGAGGGGGUGCUGUGUGGUGCCCACCCCUCCCCGCCUGCCCCUCAGCUGUCACAGCUUCAGGUCCAGGUCAUGGGCAGGCAGCCACCCUAUGUGACACCACCUCUUGGAGGCAGCCAGCCUUGCCUGGACAGGCCUCAGUCCUCAGUCUGCUGCGGGAAUCUGUGCCCCACGGGGCUUCGAGGAGAGAUGGGGGCACCCAGGCCCGCAGUGGGGAGCUGCGCAGUGGUGGAUGUGUGGUUUUGCUCCAGGGUGCUCUCUGACACCAGGAAGGGGUGAGUCUGGGUGGAAUGGGUAUUUGUGUUUCCACUGAGGGGCAGGCCCUGAUGGCCGGGCAGGGCCCCGCCGGGUGCCGUCCUCAAGCAGACCCUCCCUGCCCCGCCCCAGGUUUCCGUGCUUGGGCUGGGCAUGUUCUGCCUCCAGACAUGGAGGGCGUGUGGGACGGGGGCAGAAUGACGACCGGCAGUGGUGGCCUCCUAGAGCAGGAGGAUGGGGGUGCUGUCCUCUGGAGCCUCGGGUGAGGGGGCGCAGCCCGGGGUGCAGCUGCACGCGUCCACGUGGAUGUAGGUGUACUGGAUGGUUGUCCCAUCGGGACACUGCAGGGUCACCACCUCCUGGUGGGCCCUCUUCUCCUGGCAGCAGGUGCACUCGUGCUGCAUGGCCUGGGCCUCCAGGGAGUACCUGCGGACACACGGUGCCCUCAGGACGCGCCCACCUGGCCCACUAUGGGGGUUCUGGAGAUGGCCGGUUCUCUGAGCACGCGGGGCUUGUCCUUCCGGGCCGCGGCGACGCUCAGGGUCCCUCUGAACCCCGCUCUUCCUCCAUCCAGCAGCCCAAACUUGCUGACUCCCGCAGGCCCCCGCCCCUUCCUCGGCCUUGAGCCAGCCCGGCCCAUCUUCCACCUUUCUGGCCGACUGCGUCCACGCGGACACUGCCCGCGGCCACUCACACGGACAAGCCCAGGCAGGAGCCCUCGCAGAAGGGGACGUUGACGAGCGCCGGGCUGACGCAGUCCCCGAGCCGCAGCGCCUUUCUUUGAACGCGGACCCGGCAGGAAUCUGGAAGGGGGACAGGCAGGAGAGGGGUCUGAGGACCCUCCCGGGCGCCCCGCUCCCGACCUCCCGCCCGCGCUCAGGGGGGCUCUAGGGCGGGGUGGGAAGGCGCUUCCACUUACCAUCCUCGCAGGAGUAGCAGCAGCCGCGUUUCUGGAGGACGCCCUGCGGGGACAGCGGGGCUUGAGCGGGCCUCCAG
rnacentral:lncRNA from 1 species